CCAGACUCUCAUCACAGUUUGGUAUGCUAUUUUUAGCAAGCAACCGAAUUAAGUUAUUACUUUGUAUAUGAUUCUUCCAUAAAGUUGCAUCAAGGCCUGUCCUCCCACUGAUGCUAAAAAACUGAUUUUAGGAGACUAUCAUUCAGCGGUGACAGGUCGGUGGUUCCCCACGCGCAGAGUGACAUACCUCAACUAAAAGUGCACAUCAAGACAGCGGUGACAAAUCGGUGGUUCCCCACGCGUAGAGCGACAUAACUUGAUGCGUUUUUUUAGAUUUUACUCGUUAAUAGUUCUUUGAACUUUGUUUAAUCUACUGAUUGUCUUUCUUAAGAUACUACAUUAUUCAUGCAAUAGACAUUAUCAGAGA